rnacentral:rRNA from 1 species
GCCCUACGGGACGCAGCAGUGAGGAAUAUUGGUCAAUGGGCGGAAGCCUGAACCAGCCAAGUCGCGUGAGGGAAUAAGGCCCUACGGGUCGUAAACCUCUUUUGCCGGGGAGCAAGGGCGGGGACGUGUCCCGGCCCGGAGAGUACCCGGAGAAAAAGCAUCGGCUAACUCCGUGCCAGCAGCCGCGGUAAUACGGAGGAUGCGAGCGUUAUCCGGAUUUAUUGGGUUUAAAGGGUGCGUAGGCGGGCUUUUAAGUCAGCGGUAAAAAUUCGGGGCGCAACCCCGGCCGGCCGUUGUAACUGGGG